GAUGAACGCUAGCGGCAGGCUUAACACACGCAAGUCGAGGGGUAUAGUUCUUCGGAACUAGAGACCGGCGCACGGGUGCGUAACGCGUAUGCAAUCUACCUUUUGCAGAGGGAUAGCCCAGAGAAAUUUGGAUUAAUACCUCAUGGUAUGUGAGAAUGGCAUCAUUUUCACAUUAAAGUCACAACGGCAAAAGAUGAGCAUGCGUCCCAUUAGCUUGUUGGUAAGGUAACGGCUUACCAAGGCAACGAUGGUAGGGGUCCUGAGAGGGAGAUCCCCCACACUGGUACUGAGACACGGACCAGACUCCUACGGGAGGCAGCAGUGAGGAAUAUUGGACAAUGGGCGCAAGCCUGAUGCAGCCAUGCCGCGUGCAGGAUGACGGUCCUAUGGAUUGUAAACUGCUUUUGUACAGGAAGAAACACUGGUUCGUGAACCAGCUUGACGGUACUGUAAGAAUAAGGAUCGGCUAACUCCGUGCCAGCCGCCGCAGUAAUAC
rnacentral:rRNA from 1 species